CAUACUAGUGGAUAAGCAUGCUCUUGGGUGCAUCCUGUUUCCUAGCAUCUCCUGUCCUGGUCCUUUGUUGGUGUGGGGAGAGUAGAGCAUCCUGCAGCUUCCUCUGGCUCUGAGUACCUUCAGGAAGAUUUCCUCCCAAGAAAUCCCCAGCUCACAGGAAGACAGGGGUUUGCCAGCAGUGUUAGGUUCAUUUGGCCUCAGAUUCCCUUCCCAGGAGGCAGAUUGCUGCUGUCAGGAGGGUUGGGCAGAAAGUUUCAUGUGUACUGUGCAACUGCUCAGUCAGCAGUCCUUGGAGUCUCCUUUCUGGCGCUCCAAGUCCCUGACUUUCCCAAUCUCAAUAAUGAAUGUGAGGGAGCACAGCACUUUGUAAUUAGUAGGUUUUGUCCUGUGUCUCUUUAUUAAUCUAAGCUAUGUUUUUUACCUACAACAGAUGGCUUUCUUUUCUUGAUUUGUUUAUUUUUCAAAGAGAAGGACGAAAUGAGAAGGUAUUAGGAAAUGCCUCCAAGCUGUAAGUAGCAGAAAGCUGUGGAUGAAACUGUUAAUUUUCUCCAUUGUUUCCCAACAGCAAAAGACAUGUACCCAUUAAAGCAACACCCCUAGUUGGGGUUUGGGGGAUGGGAAAAAGGAGGGAGCAGAGAGGCUGAUACACUCUUUUACAGUGGAAGAUAUACUUAACUCAAAACUUUACAACUUUAACAUUCAGUGCUUUAUAGUCAGUUGUCUAAAAAUACUGCUAGGUUACAAACCCAAAUUAGCUAUCUAGUAAUAUCAUGUGACUUCACCUACUAUAAAAUUAAUGCAGUUAGAAUAAUAGUUACAUGCAGCAGCAUAAUGUUUCUUAUGGAGCAAAUACUUUACAGUAUUUAGUAAAUUGGUCUCUAAGGUACAGCCACAUUCAAGUAGUCUAGUUUUUCUUUAUUUCCUGCUCUCUAUGAAAAGUAUCAGUAAAAAUGCCUGCCUGAGAGAGGGUAUAUAAAAUAAGCACCAUCAUUGUAAUUGGUUCAGAACUUUAAAGUGACAGAAACUGUAUACUUAAAAAAACAGCAUCAUUUCUUUUGUUAAAAUAAUACUAGAACUCAAAUGCUUCAAUGUGAGGAAGUUGCAGAAUAAAGGUUGCCUAAGAAA
rnacentral:lncRNA from 1 species